rnacentral:rRNA from 1 species
AUGAACGCUAGCUACAGGCUUAACACAUGCAAGUCGUGGGGCAGCAUGGGAGAUGCUUGCAUUUCCUGAUGGCGACCGGCGCACGGGUGAGUAACGCGUAUCCAACCUGCCCCUUACUCCGGCACAGCCCGUCGAAAGGCGGAUUAAUGCGGGAUGCAGUCAGAGAGAUGCAUAUAUGUCUGACGAAAGGAAUUGUCCGGUAAGGGAUGGGGAUGCGUCCGAUUAGCUUGACGGCGGGGUAACGGCCCACCGUGGCUACGAUCGGUAGGGGUUCUGAGAGGAAGGUCCCCCACAUUGGAACUGAGACACGGUCCAAACUCCUACGGGAGGCAGCAGUGAGGAAUAUUGGUCAAUGGGCGAGAGCCUGAACCAGCCAAGUAGCGUGCAGGAAGACGGCCCUAUGGGUUGUAAACUGCUUUUGUACGGGAAUAAAGUUGGCCACGUGUGGUCAUUUGCAUGUACCGUACGAAUAAGGACCGGCUAAUUCCGUGCCAGCAGCCGCGGUAAUACGGAAGGUCCGGGCGUUAUCCGGAUUUAUUGGGUUUAAAGGGAGCGUAGGCCGUCUCAAAAGCGUGUUGUGAAAUGUCCCGGCUCAACCGGGGAUGUGCAGCGCGAACUGUGAGACUUGAGUGUGCGGAAGGUAUGCGGAAUUCGUGGUGUAGCGGUGAAAUGCAUAGAUAUCACGAAGAACUCCGAUUGCGAAGGCAGCAUGCCGCAGCACCACUGACGCUGAUGCUCGAAGGUGCGGGUAUCGAACAGGAUUAGAUACCCUGGUAGUCCGCACAGUAAACGAUGGAUGCUCGCUGUGAGUCAGUUGUGAUUUGCGGCCAAGCGAAAGCGUUAAGCAUCCCACCUGGGGAGUACGCCGGCAACGGUGAAACUCAAAGGAAUUGACGGGGACCCGCACAAGCGGUGGAGCAUGUGGUUUAAUUCGAAGCAACGCGAAGAACCUUACCAGGUCUUGACAUCGAUCUAAAAGGGAUGGAGACAUCCUCAUAGCUAUAGAGAAGACAGGUGGUGCAUGGUUGUCGUCAGCUCGUGCCGUGAGGUGUCGGCUUAAGUGCCAUAACGAGCGCAACCCCUCUCCGUAGUUGCCAUCGGUUCGGCCGGGCACUCUGCGGACACUGCCUCCGCAAGGAGUGAGGAAGGUGGGGAUGACGUCAAAUCAGCACGGCCCUUACGUCCGGGGCUACACACGUGUUACAAUGGGGCAUACAGAGAGCAGGGUGUACGCAAGUGCGUCCAAAUCAAGAAAGUGCCUCUCAGUUCGGACUGGGGUCUGCAACCCGACCCCACGAAGCUGGAUUCGCUAGUAAUCGCGCAUCAGCCAUGGCGCGGUGAAUACGUUCCCGGGCCUUGUACACACCGCCCGUCAAGCCAUGAAAGCCGGGGGCGCCUGAAGUCCGUGACCGCGAGGGUCGGCCUAGGGUGAAACCGGUGAUUGGGGCU